AUACGGAGGGUGCAAGCGUUAUUCGGAAUCACUGGGCGUAAAGGACGCGUAGGCGGGUUGGCAAGUCAGAUGUGAAAUCCUACAGCUUAACUGUAGAACUGCAUUUGAAACUGCUAACCUAGAGUAUGAGAGGGGGAGAUGGAAUUAGUGGUGUAGGGGUAAAAUCCGUAGAUAUCACUAGGAAUACCGAAAGCGAAGGCGAUCUCCUGGAACAUAACUGACGCUAAGGCGUGAAAGCGUGGGGAGCAAACAGAAUUAGAUACCCUAGUAGUCC
rnacentral:rRNA from 1 species